GAUGAACGCUGGCGGCGUGCUUAACACAUGCAAGUCGAGCGAACGGACGAUAAGUUUGCUUCUCUGAUGUUAGCGGCGGACGGGUGAGCAACACGUGGAUUACCUCCUUAUAAGACUGGGAUAUACUCGGGAAUCCGGGUCAAAUAUCGGAUAAUAUUCUGCAUCGCAUGGUUCAAAAGCGAAAGUCGGUCUUGCUGUCACUUAUAGCUUGAUCUGCGCUGCAUUAGCUAGUUGGUAAGGUAACGGUUUACCAAGGCAACGAUGCAUAUCCGACCCGAGAGAGUGGUCGCCGACACGGGAAGUGAGACGGGGUCGCGGCUACUGCGGGAGGAAGCAGUAGGGAAUCUUCCGCAAUGGGGGAGAGCCUGACAGAGCAACGGCGCGUGAGUGGUGAAGGUCUUCGGAUCGGAAAACUCUGUUAUUAGGGGAGAACAUAUGUGUAAGUAGCUGUGCAGAUCGUGACGGUACCUGAUCAGGAAGCCACGGCUAACUACGUG
rnacentral:rRNA from 1 species